CCCUUAUUGCUAGUUACCAUCAUUAAGUUGGGGACUCUAGCGAGACUGCCAGUGAUAAACUGGAGGAAGGUGGGGAUGACGUCAAAUCAUCAUGCCCCUUAUGACCUGGGCUACAAACGUGAUACAACUGGCUGAAACAAAGGGCAGCGAAGCAGUGAUGUGAAGCGAAACCCAAAAAAGCAGUCUCAGUUCGGAUUGAAGUCUGCAACUCGACUUCAUGAAGUCGGAAUCGCUAGUAAUCGCGAAUCAGAACGUCGCGGUGAAUACGUUCUCGGGGUUU
rnacentral:rRNA from 1 species